AGACCGAGAUCAAGGGUGGCGGGGCGUUUUUAAUCUGCUGCCAAGGUCCCUUCCAGGAUGGGCUCAGGGGAUCCAGGGGUGGCUUUGGCGGUCUGCGGGGUCUUGGUUAAUUAAAGGGGAGUCUGAUCAGGUCAAGAGGCGAGAGCAGGUGGCAGUUACUGUCAGACCGAGAAAGGAGACUGGAAACAGAGGCGCAGGAAGAGCGAAGGCGGGUGGGGGAGUGCCAGCCCUGCCCGAGGUCGGAGGCCUUUGUCCUGCCGUCUGAGCUCAAAGAUCGGAAUGAUGAGGUGACCAGGGUUUGUCAAACUCCAGCCACUGGAUACCACCUUAAAGAACUUCGUCAUAUCCUCAAAUCACCCCUUCUUAGUAUUAAAGUCUUUCUUUAAACGUUUUAAAUUUAAAAUUUAUCCAUAUCAGGAUUGUAACUAGAAGGCCAGUAUCACUUGCAAAUAGAAGAAAGCCUGAAGAAUAAAGCGAGAACAAGAUGCUAUUGAGUCCCAGCGGGAUCGUGUCACCUGCUCUCCUGGUAACAGAGUUUAGCAUGUGCCAGACGUUAGAGAUGCCCCGGCCCCCGGUGAGGCUUUCUCCCGGGUGGACUAAUAGCUGACACUCGUAGAACGCCAGGCGCUGUGCAAAGCACGUCACAAACAGCAGCUCAGUUCAUCCUCACAUUGGCUCCAGAAUGGGUGUUAUUAUGAUGCCCAUUUUAUAGAUGAGGAAAUUGAGACAAAUAUGUGAGGGCCAAGGUCGUUGAGUUUGCAAGCAGUGGAGCUGGUCUUUGCAGCAAAGCAGUUCUGCUCCAGAUCCAUGUUCCUAAGCGAGACUUGAAAAGGACUUGAAAACGUUCACAGAAAGUGAUUCGUUGUUACUUAAUACUGACCAUGUGCUGCCUAAAAGCACCACGGGCUCUCGGUUGUACACACCAUGCACUUGGGUGCACUCUGAUGGAAUUCCACCCUCUGUGAUAGGCAGGAAACCAGCGGUAGAGAGGUGGUGACUUGGCCAAGGUCACAGAGCUUGUUAGUGGCAUGCCCAGAUCUUAGGUAGUCUAAAUUCCCACCCCCUGCUCUUUUCUCCCUCACACGCAGCUCAGUGCUGCCCCUUCUGCUGUGCUGGGAGCCAGGACUCCCGGGGCUCCUCCUGAAUGGGGAGCAGUGGCCUGAGCUGCUUCCCUCCUGAGUAUCCCAGAGGAUGCUGGUUCUGAAGACUGGGAAGUCCACCAUCAAGGCACCGGCAGAUUCAGUGUUUGGGGAAAAUCGCAAAGAAAAGGUAAACCCUUUGUGAGGAAUUCCCCUGUGGUCACACGGCAGUUCCUGGACCUGCUGCCCAUCUCGGAUCUGCACUGCCCCUUCUUCAAACUUCUGAAGAGGGAUUCAAGUGGCUUGUGCGGUGAAGCCGAGAUUUCCAACUCAGUCGCCUGAAGAGACGGAGGCUCCGUUUGUGGAGCUGGAGGUCCCUGGAGAUCUGGGCGUUAACGUAACAAGCACGGCAAGGGCCAGCUGCUGACUUGACUCCUCUGGGCCUCGACUUCAUCUUCUGUAAAAAGGGGCUAAUUAUGUUUGUUGUGAAGACUAAGUUAAUAUGUGAAAAGUAUGUGACACAAUGGAAGAAACGUUGAGAAACAUUGACAUUAUUUUUGUUAUUUAGGCUACAUUGAGUCUGGUUCACUAAGAGACACCCAAGUGGACACAGGAUUAGAUGGGUCAGGAGCUCAGCAGAGGAGAGAGUUACAGAGAUUUGGGGUCAUUACCAUAGUGGGUGGUGGCAUAUUAAGAAAUACAUAUUUGGUCUUUGUCCCCAGUUCCCGACACAGAGCUCCUCAAUCCCUUGGCCUUUCCUGGGUGAUAGGGGCGUCUUUGUUCCAGUGAGGUGACUGUUGGUGGGCGGGCCCCUAGAUAGCUUCAGGAUGGGGGCUGGUCGCCUGAAAGAUCAGCCUUGAUUAGAAGCCUGGAACUUUCAGCCCCACUCCCACCUCCAACCUCCGGGGAGGGGAGGGGGCUGCAAACUGAGUUAAUAAUCGGUUAUGCCUAAGUGAUGAAACCUCCAUAAAAACCCCUAAGUGAAGGGGUUCGGAGAGCUUCCGAGCUGGUGAACGAGUCCACAUGCCCGGAGGGCGGCGCACCCCGACUCCAUAGGACAGAAGUUCCUGCGCUCGGGCCCUUCUGGACCUCGCCCUGUGUAGCACCUCUCUAUCUGACUGCUCACUUGGAUCCUU